GGAAGGGUCUCCAUGGACAAUGACUUGACACCUGAUAGAACAUCUGUUCGAGCUCUGGUUCAGGUCGACAGAGCUGCUGAAGCUGGGGGCGUUAGUAUCGACGUCACUGCGGAUCGUGGAGCACCUAUCGCUGCUGCUGCUGCUGCUUCUCCUACGGUACUUAGCCUUCUUCUGCCGUGGCUGGGUUGUUAUUGUCUGCGGUGUUAGUGAUAAUUCUGGUGGAGUGGCUCUAUCGGCCGGUGAUGACGGGGCCGGCGACAGAUCCCGCGUCCUGGACGAGAGUGGCGUAGCAAGCAAGGACCCAACUCAAGCAACAGACAAGAAUGAACGCGCGUGGUACGAUAAGAACGCCAGUAGUUGGAGGAACGCCCACUGACUGAACACCAUCAUCUCUUAUGACCCAUGAAGGAAGACGAGGACGUGAGCAUCAGCGAGCCGCAUCACCAUCCACCUCUACCAUCACCUCCCGCCACCUUCACCUCCCUCAUCUCCACCCCUCUACUACGCAAAGAAGAGGGAGAGGAAGAAGAGAAUGACGUGGGCAAUGGGCAUCAGCUCUCUUUCUCCAUUCCUUCUCCAUCCCCACCUCCUACCCUUCCAACACUCGAGGAGGAGGAGGAGGAGGAGGAGGAGGACAACGAGGACGAGGACGCGAACAUUAAAAUAUUGCAUAAAUUAUCGUUGCUCGCAUAAACCGGUUACGGAAAAAUAUAUAGAGAAAAACGAGGUGCAGAAAAACGAGGUAUAGAAAAACGAGGUGCAGAAUUUGAUACUGGAUAUGUAUUUGUCAACUGGCCGUCACUGCGCGCCCGGGUUAUGAAAUGAUUCGCAGCGAUUGGUGUGACAAAAAGAAUGAUGGUCGUUAUAGUAAUUCUAUUUGCUAUGUUCCCAAACCCUAUAAUCGAAAUUAAUAAAAAAGUAAUGUGUGUCAAGUCGACGUGUGAUGACAGAUGCAGUCAUCAUGGUAAUAUCACAAGUUACUCCAGAUCGUACCCAGCAAAUGGAAAAUGGGUAACAUUUUUUUCUGGCCUCCAAAAUUUUCGCAUUUGUGGGAUUAUUUCCUUAUUUUAUACGGUAAAGGAGAUAGACUAUAAAAAACAGUAACAAAACCAAAAUUCAAAGAAACUGCAUGGAGCAGGAUAAACUCACAACAAAAAAUCUAAUGAUGAAACCACAUUCGUAAUUGUAUCGUUCUUACGCGUUUUGUGGCAAGUCUUCGCCAUGCUGUUUAAUAAAGUUCAAAAGAGAAAGCCCUAGAACUAUGCCUCAAAUCUCUCAUCUAUUCCCUAUGCUUGGAAUGGCUCACCCGAGACACAGGGGUGGGAAUCGUGCGUCUGCAGGAGCGUGCCUACCCACAAGCAAAUAUUUUCAUGCAGCGGCUCGACGAUGAGGGGGCGGGAGAGAAGCGGCUAUAGUGAUACACCGAAGUAGAAUUUCAUGUUCCCAGGCGACCCUCUCCCCUCCGCCGACGACCCUUGGUCAUGGUUAUGGAUGAGGCGCGGGCCGGGGAAGGAAAUGAACGAGUUUCAUGGGAAGUGGGAGAGGAUGAGGAUGAGGUUGUGUCAGUGCGAAAAGAGUAGGGGAAAGAAAACACUAACAAGGAUAAGUUUGACUUAUCACUGAAGAAAAUAAAAAAAAGAUAUAUAACGUUGUGAAAGAAGAGGACAGGGCAUUACAAAAAGGUAGAAAGAAGGAAAGAUGGGCUCUUCUAAAACGAAAAAAAUGGAGGGAUUAUGUGAAAAUGAGGAUCCAGUUCUGAAUUCAAGAGGCGUUACAGAAGGACGAAAAUGGGUGUAGAUCUCGAGAAAAGGGAAGUGGAAAAAGCGGAAGGUAAUCUAAAGUCAUCUCAGUUGACGGGCAUUACGGAACGUGCGAAGUUUUGAAAGACAUUAGGAACGGUAGGGCAGGAGUCGAAUUGAGGGAAGCUAGACAGGUCACGGUUAUCGUGUUAGGGACGUUGCAACGAAAGGGUAUCCGUGCUUAGCGUGAAUUAAAAGGCCCGAAAGGAGAUAGAUUUGAUGGAACCCAUAUGAAAAUACCAUUGACAGAAAAUCUGGCUGGCUGUGUGGCUAUGGAGAGACGAGGUGAGAGGAGGAGGGAGAGGGGAACUGAGGAGGGA